GGAAGUAAAAGUCGUAACAAGGUUUCCGUAGGUGAACCUGCGGAAGGAUCAUUAAAGAUUCUGAGGCUCGCCCUCAACUUUCAUUCAGCUGUGCGCUUCUGCUGCACGCUGGACGAUAAAUCUCACACCUGUGCACCUUUUCGGUUGCGGUCUCGGCCGCUUCCGCUUUUACAUGCAACUACAACAGUCCAGAAUGUGAUCUAAACUAUAAAGUAACAACUUUCAACAACGGAUCUCUUGGCUCUCGCAUCGAUGAAGAACGCAGCGAAACGCGAUAAGUAACGUGAAUUGCAGAAUUCAGUGAAUCAUCGAAUCUUUGAACGCACCUUGCGCUCCUUGGUAUUCCAUGGAGCAUGCCUGUUUGAGUGUCACGUAAACCCCUCACCCUCGCGAUGUAACAGUCGCCCGUGGUGGACUUGGACCGUGCCGUAAUCGGCUCGUCUUGAAAUGCAUUAGCUGGCGCUUUUAGAGUGCUGGGCGAACGGUGUGAUAAUUAUCUGCGCCGACGGCCCUGGGCCUCUUCAGCGGCGCUGCUUACAGCCGUCCCUCGUGGACAACUAUUAUAAAGCUUUGGCCUCAAAUCAGGUAGGACUACCCGCUGAACUUAAGCAUAUCAAUAAGCGGAGGA
rnacentral:rRNA from 1 species